rnacentral:rRNA from 1 species
UACGUAGGGGGCAAGCGUUGUCCGGAAUCACUGGGCGUAAAGCGCGCGCAGGCGGUCAUCUACGUCUGGGGUGAAAGCCCGGAGCUUAACUCCGGGAUUGCCUUGGAUACGGGAUGACUUGAGGAUCGGAGAGGCAAGGGGAAUUCCACGUGUAGCGGUGAAAUGCGUAGAGAUGUGGAGGAACACCUGUGGCGAAGGCGCCUUGCUGGCCGAUUUCUGACGCUGAGGCGCGAAAGCGUGGGGAGCAAACAGG